rnacentral:misc_RNA from 1 species
GAUGAAGAACGUAGCGAAAUGCGAUAAGUAAUGUGAAUUGCAGAAUUCAGUGAAUCAUCGAAUCUUUGAACGCACCUUGCACCCUUUGGCAUUCCGAAGGGUAUGCUCGUUUGAGUGUCAUUGUACUCUCACACUUCCAAUUCUUUGGAUUGGGAGCGGUGGACUUGGGUGCUGCUGCUUACCGUGGCUCACCUCAAAUGUGUUAGUGCAACCGUUGGUUAGACAUAGUACAGCGUGAUAAGUAUCUUCGCUGGCGCCUCACCAGAGGGUGGCUGAUCAGGGCUUUGUGCUUCCAAUCGUCUUCGGACAACCGCUGACACCUUGACCUCAAAUCGAGUAGGACUACCCGCUGAACUUAAGCAUAUCAAUAAGCGGAGGA